rnacentral:lncRNA from 1 species
CUCUUGAUAGCUGGGCAGUCCCUUUUCUGUGAAUUUGUUUGGGAUUGCUGACUGGGCUCUGUUGUUUGGCAAGACCACUGGCUACUGUCCACAACCCAAAAGAGCAAGAGGAUGUGCGCUGAAGUUACCUCAGGUGAUUGUUGCUUGGAGUUUCCUGCCACCUGGACAAUAAUGCCAAGCAAAGUGAGCAGUGCCAUUAAGCACUCAGGAGGGAUGGAACAAAGUUUCCUUCUUUUGCCUCAUACUCCCAAUGACCUGGCUUUCCUUUUAUCUGCUAAUGCAGCAAUGAGUCAAUCUUUGAAUAGUUGACAUGGAACAACUCAAAUCUAUAUUGCAUUGUCAUCAAGACAGAGCUUUGUGUAAGGUCCCUGUCUAAACAGAAGAAAACAGAAG